rnacentral:rRNA from 1 species
UUCAGGGGUAAACCUGAGAAACCCGAAAGGUCGAAAGGGGAAAUUCAUUCGCGUCUCGGCAGUCGGAGCGAGAGGGUCGAGCGACGGACGGCGUACGCGUCGUCCGCGCCUUCCGUUUCGCGAUCUGGCGUCGAACGCGUGCACUUUUCCCCUAGUAGGACGUCGCGAUCCGUUGGGUGUCGGUUUAAGGCCUGCGGCGGAGCCCGAGCGUACGUCUUUGGCGUUGCGCGCUCGGACCCGCGGUGUCCCGACCGACCCGCUCGACGGUAUACAGAUGGCGCGGGGCCGCUACUUCAGUUAGCGUUCGGCCCGCGGCAAGCGCGUCAGGCGUUUGGCGGCGAUCGGACUUGGUGCCGGUCCUGUCCCCUGACGACUGUUAGCCGCGGUGUUCUCGGACAGACCUCGUUUCGAAACGCCGAUCUGCGACGCUAUAGCUUUGGGUACUUUCAGGACCCUCGGACCAAGGAGUCUAGCAUGUGCGCGAGUCAUUGGGACAUAUCUAAACCUAAAGGCGCAAUGAAAGUGAAGGUCCGCCUUGCGCGGACCGAGGGAGGAUGGGCGGCCGGCGUUUCCGCGUCGCCGCCCCGCACUCCCGGGGCGUCUCGUUCUCAUCGCGAGAAGAGGCGCACCAAGAGC